rnacentral:rRNA from 1 species
UCGAACGAGAAAGCACCUUCGGGUGUGAGUAAAGUGGCGGACGGGUGCAGUAACGCGUAGGAACAUGCCCAGUAGUGGGGGACAACUCGGGGAAACUCGAGCUAAUACCGCAUACGCUGCUCUUCUUCGGAAGUGCAGGAAAGUGGGGGAUCUUCGGACCUCACGCUAUUGGAGUGGCCUGCGUCGGAUUAGCUUGUUGGUGGGGUAAAGGCCUACCAAGGCGACGAUCUGUAGCUGGUCUGAGAGGACGAUCAGCCACACUGGAACUGAGACACGGUCCAGACUUCUACGGAAGGCAGCAGUAGGGAAUCUUGGGCAAUGGGCGAAAGCCUGACCCAGCGAUGCCGCGUGUGUGAAGAAGGCCCUAGGGUUGUAAAGCACUUUCAGCAGUGAAGAAAUGCCGGGAGAUAAUACCUCCUCGGUUUUGACGUUAACUGCAGAAGAAGCACCGGCUAACUCCGUGCCAGCAGCCGCGGUAAUACGGAGGGUGCGAACGUUAAUCGGAAUUACUGGGCGUAAAGCGCGCGUAGGCGGUUCGAUAAGUGGGAUGUGAAAGCCCCGGGCUUAACCUGGGAACUGCAUUCCAAACUGCCGGACUAGAGUAUGGUAGAGGGAGGUAGAAUUUCCUGUGUAGCGGUGAAAUGCGUAGAUAUAGGAAGGAAUACCGGUGGCGAAGGCGGCCUCCUGGACCAAUACUGACGCUGAGGUGCGAAAGCGUGGGGAGCAAACAGGAUUAGAUACCCUGGUAGUCCACGCCGUAAACGAUGAGA